rnacentral:snRNA from 1 species
GUGCUCACUUUGGCAGCACAAAUACUAAAAUUGGAAUGAUGCAGAGAAGAUUAGCAUGGCCCCUGUGCAAGAGUGACAUGCAGAUGGGUGAAGCAUUCCAUAUUUUU